AAUCAUCAGUUCGAAAAUUUUUAAGAAAAAUGAGCAAGACUGAACGGGGCGGAAAAUAGACGAAAAGAAAAAACAUGUGUUUGAGAUUUUUAUAAGCCGUGUGCAAGUGGCUGGUUGUGAAGAGCCUUCCUCUAUCUUCUAUACGCUAUUCGAGAAACAUACACACA
ensembl:ncRNA R01E6.15 ncRNA